UUAAAACGCUCGUAGUCGGAUUUCGGGGCGUGUGGGCCGGUCUGCCGAUGGGUAUGCACUGGUUGUACGCGUCCUUUCUUUCGGAGCUCUCUGCUGCUCUUAGCUGAGCGGUGGAGGGAUACCAAUCGUUUACUUUGAAAAAAUCAGAGUGUUUCAAGCAGGCAGCUCGCUCUUGCAUGGAUUAGCAUGGGAUAAUGAAAUAGGACUCUGGUGCUAUUUUGUUGGUUUCGAACACCGGAGUAAUGAUUAACAGGGACAGUCAGGGGCACUCGUAUUCCGCCGAGAGAGGUGAAAUUCUCAGACCAGCGGAAGACGAACCACUGCGAAAGCAUUUGCCAGGGAUGUUUUCACUGAUCAAGAACGAAAGUUAGGGGAUCGAAGACGAUCAGAUACCGUCGUAGUCUUAACCAUAAACCAUGCCGACUAGGGAUUUGGGGUUGUUCCUUUUGUGACUCCUUAAGCACCUUUCGGGAAACUAAAGUCUUUGGGUUCCGGGGGGAGUAUGGUCGCAAGGCUGAAACUUAAAGGAAUUGACGGAAGGGCACCACCAGGAGUGGAGCCUGCGGCUUAAUUUGACUCAACACGGGGAAACUUACCAGGUCCAGACAUUGUGAGGAUUGACAGAUUGAGAGCUCUUUCUUGAUUCGAUGGGUGGUGGUGCAUGGCCGUUCUUAGUUGGUGGAGUGAUUUGUCUGGUUAAUUCCGUUAACGAACGAGACCGCAGCCUGCUAAAUAGUACCGCGAACAAUUUGUUGGCGGGUCACUUCUUAGAGGGACAACUUGUCUUCAACAAGUGGAAGUUUGCGGCAAUAACAGGUCUGUGAU
rnacentral:rRNA from 1 species